UGUGAAAUGUUUUCCCAUUGUACAUGGUUCAAGUCUGUUUUCUCAAGCCAGUUGCCUAGAUUUUUCCUUUCUGGCCAGAAUAUCUAUAGUAUUAUAACUUACUUGAGAUGACUUUCUAGCUGUGGAAGUUUCUCUGGAGUGGUAAAACGGGG